UACGUAGGGUGCAAGCGUUAAUCGGAAUUACUGGGCGUAAAGCGUGCGCAGGCGGCUUUGCAAGACAGAUGUGAAAUCCCCCGGCUUAACCUGGGAACUGCGUCUGAUACUGGAAGGCUUGAGUGCGGGAGAGGGAUGUGGAAUUCCAGGUGUAGCGGUGAAAUGCGUAGAUAUCUGGAGGAACACCGGUGGCGAAGGCGGCAUCCUGGACCGACACUGACGCUGAGGCGCGAAAGCUAGGGUAGCAAACGGG
rnacentral:rRNA from 1 species